GAUGAACGCUGGCGGCGUGCUUAACACAUGCAAGUCGAACGGAAAGGCCCUGCUUUUGUGGGGUGCUCGAGUGGCGAACGGGUGAGUAACACGUGAGUAACCUGCCCUUGACUUUGGGAUAACUUCAGGAAACGGGGGCUAAUAUCGGAUAGGAGAUCCUGCUGCAUGGUGGGGGUUGGAAAGUUUCGGCGGUUGGGGAUGGACUCGCGGCUUAUCAGCUUGUUGGUGGGGUAGUGGCUUACCAAGGCUUUGACGGGUAGCCGGCCUGAGAGGGUGACCGGCCACCUUGGGACUGAGAUACGGCCCAGACUCCUACGGGAGGCAGCAGUGGGGAAUAUUGCACAAUGGGCGGAAGCCUGAUGCAGCAACGCCGCGUGCGGGAUGACGGCCUUCGGGUUGUAAACCGCUUUCGCCUGUGACGAAGCGUGAGUGACGGUAAUGGGUAAAGAAGCACCGGCUAACUACGUG
rnacentral:rRNA from 1 species